rnacentral:lncRNA from 1 species
UGGAAAGAAGAAAUGACUUUUUUGGUAGACUAUAGUAACAAUAUUACAUCCCCAGGCUCCAGCAAAGAACUGUAGGCCCCUGCAUUUUGCCCCAUUCUUCGUUUCUCUUUUGCUCAUGGCAAGAGCUUGCUGGAGUGGGGGAGGUACAGCUGGUACCUUGACAAGCACUGGCCUUUGUCCCAGGAGGGACGUCUUUUCUCUCUGCUUAUUGGAGGCUCCAGCAGAGAAUGGAGACUUCUGAAUGAGACUCACUGGGCUUCUCUUAAAUUGUUCAUGUCUGACCCAGUGGGUUUGGCAUUUUUAGGAGUAUUAUGUGAUGUCAGUUGAUGUCUAAAUGCAUGUCACCCAUGAGAGGUUUGCCAGGGAGCGGCCAGAGGCCUGAGUGGCAUUUGGUUGAGACAGGCAAGAGAGAGGGUAAGAUAUUAAGAUGUUUUGGGAAAGAGCAGGUUUUAGGUCAUUUCCCUAAUUAUUCAUGGGAUCAUUCCUGGGUUCCUUGGCAAAGAAAUGGUGUGUGUGUGUGUGUUUGUGUAUUCACAGUGGUUGGUUGGAGGCUAAGGAAGUCUAAGGACUAGGGUAGAAGUUGGGCUCACUUCAUAUAAUGAAUGUUUUCUUUUGGCGGAGCGUGGUUCUGGCCAGGUGGGGUCUGAGGCUGUCUGCAUGGUUCCUGGGGAAAAGAUAGGCCCCCAAGCCUUAAGAGAUUAGUAACCAUUGGAUUGAGGAAGUAUGAUAUUUCUGGAUUUAAAGUGAUAUCUGAAGAGCAAAUACCCUAAUAACUAUGAUUCAGAAACUUGGAAUAUGUUUUUAAUAGAAUGUGUUUGGGUUGAAAGAAGCCUAACUCAGUUUUCUUUGGGAUCAGAAACAAUAAUAAUAAUGCAUUUUUGAGGCAUCUUUAAUUUCAGUUGCCUUCCUCCAGUCCGGUGAAGGAAAGACAUCCUGUCCCCAUUGCAUAUAAAUAAUGAGAUGACUAUGAUGGUGAUGAUGCUGAUGAUGAUAAUGGUGAUGAUGGUGAUGGUAAUGACAUUGAUGAUGAUGAUGGUGAUGAUGAUGAUGAUGACAUUGAUGAUGAUGAUGGUGAUGAUGACGGUGAUGAUGGUGAUGAUGAUGGUGAUGGUGAUGAUGAUGAUGACAGUGAUGAUGAUGGUGAUGAUGAUGGUGAUAGUGAUGAUGAUGGUAAUGAUGACAGUGAUGAUGAUGGUGAUGAUGAUGGUGAUGAUGACAGUGAUGAUGAUGGUGAUGAUGAUGGAUUGUAGCUACUCUUUACUGAGGGUUGUGUUCUAGGGAUUGUGCUUAAUAGCUGACAUACCUCAUUUCAUGUGCUCCU